AUUGAACGCUGGCGGCAGGCUUAACACAUGCAAGUCGAGCGGGGUGAUGGUGCUUGCACUAUCACUUAGCGGCGGACGGGUGAGUAAUGCUUAGGAAUCUGCCUAUUAGUGGGGGACAACAUCUCGAAAGGGAUGCUAAUACCGCAUACGUCCUACGGGAGAAAGCAGGGGAUCACUUGUGACCUUGCGCUAAUAGAUGAGCCUAAGUCGGAUUAGCUAGUUGGUGGGGUAAAGGCCUACCAAGGCGACGAUCUGUAGCGGGUCUGAGAGGAUGAUCCGCCACACUGGGACUGAGACACGGCCCAGACUCCUACGGGAGGCAGCAGUGGGGAAUAUUGGACAAUGGGGGGAACCCUGAUCCAGCCAUGCCGCGUGUGUGAAGAAGGCCUUAUGGUUGUAAAGCACCUUAAGCGAGGAGGAGGCUCUUUUGGUCAAUACCCAAGAUGAGUGGACGUUACUCGCAGAAUAAGCACCGGCUAACUCUGUGCCAGCAGCCGCCGUAA
rnacentral:rRNA from 1 species